UUGCUUUGACAGCACAUAUGAUAAAAUUGGAAUGAUACAGAGAAGAUUAGCAUGGCCCCUAGGCAAGAAUAACACACAAAUUCAUCAAGCAUUCCGUAUUUUU